AUUGAACGCUGGCGGCAUGCCUUACACAUGCAAGUCGAACGGCAGCACGGGGGCAACCCUGGUGGCGAGUGGCGAACGGGUGAGUAAUGCAUCGGAACGUGUCCUCUUGUGGGGGAUAACCAGUCGAAAGAUUGGCUAAUACCGCAUGAGAUCGCAAGAUGAAAGCGGGGGACCGCAAGGCCUCGCGCGAGAGGAGCGGCCGAUGCCGGAUUAGCUAGUUGGUGGGGUAACGGCCUACCAAGGCGACGAUCCGUAGCUGGUCUGAGAGGACGACCAGCCACACUGGGACUGAGACACGGCCCAGACUCCUACGGGAGGCAGCAGUGGGGAAUCUUGGACAAUGGGCGCAAGCCUGAUCCAGCCAUGCCGCGUGUGUGAAGAAGGCCUUCGGGUUGUAAAGCACUUUCGGACGGAACGAAAUCGCGCGGACGAACAUUCCGCGUGGAUGACGGUACCGUAAGAAGAAGCACCGGCUAACUACGUGCCAGCCGCCGCAGUAA
rnacentral:rRNA from 1 species